UGCCACCUAAUUUUCAUUCUUUUUAUAUGGUUGGCUGUGCCACCUAAUUUUCGUUCUUUACUUAUAUUUUAUGUUAUUUUAUGUCAUAUUGGUAUCAUGAAUUUAAUUCUCAUCGUUCAGUUAAAGAUAAUUGUGAAACUUUCUUUAGUAAUUUAUUUGACUCACCUCAACACUCACUCGUAUCUUCUACCAUGGCUGAUAAUGAAAGCGUACAUGAUGAAAAUGAAAACCAACGAGUACGAACCAUGAGUGAUUACUUGCAACCUCCUCGAAAUUAUGCUCCUUCAUGUUUCAUUUUCCCUCCUAAUGCUAAUAAUUUUUUAUUCAAGCCAGGUAUGAUUCCAUUAGUUCCUAAUUUUCAUGGCUCAGAAUCCGAAAGUCCAUAUUUGCAUCUUAAAGAAUUUGAGGAAGUAUGUACAACAUUUAACGAUCAAACUUGUCCCAACGAAAUUGUUGAGUUGAAAUUGUUUCCUUUUUCUCUAAAAGAUAAAGCAAAAAACUUGGCUUAACUCUUUAAAACCUAGGUCGAUUGGCACAUGGCAAGAAAUGCAAAGUGAGUUUUUGAAGAAUUUCUUUCCAGCACAUAAAAACUAAUGCUUUGAAAAGACAAAUUCAAAAUUUUUCUCAGAAAACCAAUGAAGCGUACUUUCAAUGUUUAGAAAGAUUUAAAGAUUUGUUAAAUACAUGCCCACAUCAUGGUUUUGAAAAAUGGCGUACUAUAAGUUUCUUUUAUAAGGGCCUAACUCCUGAAACAAAACAAUUUGUAGAAACGAUGUGCAAUAGUGAAUUUUUAGAUAAAGAUCCAGAUGAAGCCUUAGAAUUUCUAGAUCAUCUAGCUGAAAAUUCUCAAUCUUGGCAAAUAGUAAAACCAAUCGAAAACUCAAUUAGAUAUAGUCUUGCAAGUUCUAGUGGAGGAAAAUAUCAAUUGAGUCAAGAUGAUGAUCUAAAUGCCAGGAUUGCUAGUUUGUCUAGAAAGGUUGAAGAUAUGGAAUUAAGGAAAGUAAAGGAAGUUAAACCUGUGCAAAAUGAUGAAAUUUGUAGCAUUUGUGAAACUUUUGGUCAUCUUACUCAUAAUUGUCCUAAUAUUCCAGUCUUCAAAGAAGUUUUACAUGAUCAAGCCAAUGCUAUGAACACUUUCAAAAAGCCUUUUUCUUCUCCAUACUCAGAAACAUAUAAUCAACAAUGGAGAAAUCAUCCCAACUUUAGUUGAAGAGAUGAUAAUCAUGUUCAUUUAUUACAACCUCAAGGGCUUUCAAAAUUUCCUGCUUUUCCACCACCACAAUCAAAGACUCUUGAGGAAACAUUGCAGUCUUUUAUGCAAGGACAAGUAAAUAUUAAUAAUCAAACUUCACAAGCCAUCAAUGAAAUCAAGAACACACUUUCUUCAUUGACCUCUUCCUUGCGUUCUCAAGAGAGAGGCAAGUUUCCUGCUCAACCUCAACCAAAUCCUUCUGGGCAAUUUAAUGUAAAUGCUUCAAGUCAACAAGAAAAUGCCAACUCCAUCACGACUCUUAGUAGUGGAAAAAUUAUUGACAAAACCAUCCCUUCAAAAGAUCUAAAAUCGGGUGGGACUUCAAAGAAAGAAAAUGACUUUCCCAAAAGUGAGGAAAAGAUCAUUUCUGAACCCAUUGUUGAAAAAUGUCCCAUUCUAGCGCCAUUUCCUCAAUGAUUGCAACCAAUUUCAAAACUCAACCAUAAUUCUAAAAUUUUUGAACUUUUCAAACAAGUCAAAAUUAACAUACCAUUAUUGGAUGCAAUCAAACAAGUUCCUUCAUAUGCAAAAUUUUUAAAAGACUUGUGCACUGUCAAGAGGAAGCUUAAUGUUCAACAGAAAGCAUUUUCGACAGAGAAUGUGAGCUCAAUCAUUCAACAAAACACUCUACCUAAAUUCAAAGAUCCUGGUUGUCCAACAAUUUCUUGUGUGAUUGGGAAUAAUAGGAGACCGUGCAUUGCUUGAUCUUGAUGCUAGUGUUAAUCUAUUACCUUUUUCUGUGUAUGAGCAACUUGGUUUGGGAGAGCUUAAACCAACAGCAACAACACUUCAACUUGCUGAUCGUUCAGUAAAAGUUCCAAGAGGGGUUGUAGAGGAUGUUCUAGUUCAAAUUGAUAAAUUCUAUUAUCCUGUUGAUUUUAUAGUUUUGGACACACAUCCUGUUUUAAAUUCAAAUGCACAAAUACCUGUCAUUUUAGAACGUUCCUUUCUUGCUACUUCAAAUGCAUUGAUAAAUUGUAGAAAUGGUAUUUUGAAACUCUCUUUUGGAAAUAUGACAGUGGAAAUGAAUGUUUUUAACAUUUGCAAGCAACAUGGAGAUGAAGAUGAUUUGCAUGAAGUAGAUCUUAUUGAAAAAGUUGUUGAUGAUCAAUUUAUCGCUACAUGUUCACAUGAUGCGCUUGAAUUUGAAUUCAACGAUAAUUCUAAAAAUUCGCACAUGAUUUCAAGUGUUCAAGAGCUAAAGCUCGAUUUGAAACCAUUUUUUGAGAAUUUCUCUAGAUUGGAAGAGUCCGUUGCUGUACAUGAUUCUAAAGAUUGAUAUCCUUUUCUCAUUAUUUUAUUUUGUAUGUUUCUUUUCAGUUUUAUAAUGUUGUGUGUUUGUUUUAGGUGUGUUUCUUUUAUUGUUGUUUUUUCUUUCACUAAUGAAAUUGAAGGAACAUUUAGGCCAAGUUUAUGCAGACUUUCCAGGUAAAGCUCAAAACUCGUCCCUUUGUUCAAAAUUUUCCUCCUUCUUGUCCUUCAUAUAUUUUGCACAUUUAAUCUUUACAUUGAGGACAAUUUUUCAUUUAGGUUGGGGGAAAGGAAUCAAAAUGUUUAAAAAAAAAAAAGUUCUUACCGAUCGAUGAUAAUAUUUAGAAUUGUUGUUAUAUUAUUGUGACUAGGGGAUGCUGCUUUGAUUUUGUUUAAGCUUGAUCAUGUUAGAUUGAUCUACAUUGAGCACAAUAAUCAUGAAAAUCACAUAUUAUUUAGAUUGGAUCAAUGGAUAGAAUAUGUAGAAUUAACUAUGACCCAAAAAAAAAAUCCAACUAUUAGAAUUAACUAUGACCCAAAAAAAAAAAAAAAAAAAACUUCCAACUAAACCAAUUCUAGGAUAGUUUGGGGUGGUUGAGCUAUUGUGGGGAGACAUUGAGAUAGAUGUGGAUUCCAUUUGUGUUAAAUUUUGUGUGGAUUGCUUAAGACCAAUGAGAUGAUAAUUAAGUGAAAAUCUUAAGUUAAAGAUCGAUUUUCGAGAAUAAGUAUUUAAUGAGGGGCAUUGCACUAAUCAUUGCAUAGAAGGGAAAAAGCUGUCAUGUUGUGCAGCUACCCUAAAAGAGCCCAAUGAGGACAAUUUUACAUUAAAAAAGAUAGGCUACUGCAUGAAACAGACUACGCACGGCAAACUUGAAAAAAAUAGGUGCAUGAAAUAGAAGACGCAUUACAUGCUUUGAUUAAGUCCCAAACACUUAUUUUAGAGAAUUAGACCUUUGAUAAGGGAUUAGUAGUUUAGUUGAUUCUUGGAGGUUGAGUCAGUUAAAAUUAAGGAGAAUCCUCAUUUAUUGAUGUGUUGAGCUACGAUUAGUAAAAUCUAACCAAACUAGAGAGGGUGAGUAGUAGCAUAUAAAUUUAACCAUAAAUCACACCUUGAGAAAAUAGUUACAAAAUCAAGUUUGGGGGUGUGCAUCCAACGAGAGAAGAGAGAAAUAGUUGAACAUUGAGGGUCGGGAUGAGUCCAAUUUGAAAAAAGUAUAUGAUUGAAUUGAUUAUGCACCCACACACGUUGGUCAAGUAUUGGACAAGUUAGACUAUAUUUUGGUAGCAAACCUUAGAAGAGCUUUGAUAAACAAUUUCAAAUCCUAAGGCAAAUGCGACAAGCUAUAUCAUUUGAAAUAUUUUUGAAUUUUCAUUGCUAGAGAAUAGCAAUAUCUUGGUUGGGGAGUGUGAUUAUUGUCUAAAAGUGCUUCAAAGAGAUAUCAUUUACAAGGCAUUUUACAUUCACUUUAUUUAAAAACACUAAUGUUAGUCUCUAAUUUUAAUUCUCUUGCAGUAAAUUCAAUUUCCAUAAAUACAUGGUUAAAGAUGCAAUUAAUUGAAAUACGUAUUUACAUACAUGUCGGCAUGAGUAUUAUACAUUUCAAAUAGUAUCUAUUUGAUGUAUUUCACAUGUAUUUCCAAUUUAGAACAAGUAGAGCAAGUGGAGGAAAAUAAUGUUGAAAAGUAAAAAAUAGUGACUAUCUCAAGCAAGAAGCAGCUGUCGGUAAAAUGACUAUAACUUGAGCUCUAGACAUUGGAUCGAGGUGAUUCAAGUUGAUUUUUAAGGAUAAGGAAUUUUUCUACAACGUUCAUGUUUUAAAAGAAGUCAAAUUCGUAUCACAAGGUAGCUAAAAUUACCAUGGAAAGUCCAGCUUGUUACCUGCCGGAUACAGCUUUACCUGUGAAGCAGCACUCAUUGUUUUUGUCAUAUCUGGAGUUAUAUAGAUCCAAUGAACCUGAUAUUUCAACCCAUGAAAAGAUAACGCAAGUGGAAAUAAUUUAUCUGUUGAUCAUAAGUCCAAAUUCACUGCACAAUAUAUCUAAAAAUUGGCAUCAAGUUGCAUAUUCCAGCUGUCUUGAAGCUGGAUAGAAACAAGUUGCAUUGCCUACUUGAAUUUUGGAUGUUCCUUUGCCUAUAAAAGGGGACCUUGGCCACGAUUUUGAGAGCAUCAAUUCCUCUCCCAUCAUAUUCUAGUUUCCUUCUUUUUCUUUGUAACAUUUCAUUAUGUAUUUCUAAACCAUUAGCUAGAGCUAGGGGUGAAACUUUGGUGAAUGUAUAGUAUUAUCUUUGAUCUUUCAUUUUGUUCUUCAAUGUUCAUCUUCUUACUUGGUUGAAGUAUAUGUUCUACAAAUGGUUUUGGUCUGUUAAAGACUUUGAUUUAUUGUUGACAAUUUUGGCACAAUAAAUGCUUAGAUAAUCUCUACAUUCCAACAACUUAUUUUGACAUAUUCUCUCAAACAUUAAUCAAGAUCUAUCUUUUAAUAUAUUUGUGAUCAAUGUUUUUUCUUCCAUAUGAGAUCACUCCUUAGUUGAUUUUCAUAUGAGUUAAAUUAAAGAUCAAGAGCAAUUUCUACUCAUUUAUCCGAAGUGAAUCCCCGACGCUCUAGUGUUCGUCUCAAUCGUAUUUUCACCAGCCAUUCACUACUCAUAGACUAGUUCAUUUCCUUCCAAUUCCCUGUGGUUCGACCUCGGACUUCCGAGAUUUACUACUUGCGACAACCUGCACUUGGGUUUGCGACCUUAAAGUUGUAGCAAGUUUUUGGCGCCGUUGCCAGGGUUUUGCGUCGAGGAUUAUUUUCUGCUACUUUCUGUGAGGUUUUCUUCUCUUUCAUAAUCUUCAUAAAUCAGGUACACUCGUUCCUUUUUCAAUCUUAUUACUUUAGUUAUUUUACUUUAAAGGAAGGCUGAGCCUCCUUAGUUUUUUUUCUUUCUUUAAAGGGAAGGCCGAGCCUCCCGACCUGUCGUAUUUUUAUUAUAUGGUUGGCUGUGCCACCUAAUUUUUGUUCUUAUUAUAUGGUUGGUCGUGCCACCUAAUUUUCGUUCAUUACAUCUACUUUUUGUUAUUUUAUGUCAUAUUGGUAUCGUGAAUUAAAUUCUCAUCGUUUAGUUAAAGAUAAUUGUGAAACUUAUUUUAGUAAUUUAUUUAACUCACCUCAACACUCACUCACAUCUUCCACCAUGGCUGAUAAUGAAAGCGUACAUGAUGAAAAUGAAAACCAACAAGCACGAACCAUGCGUGAUUACUUGCAACCUCCUUGAAACUCUGCUCCUUCAUGCUUCAUUUUCCCUCUUAAUGCUAAUAAUUUUCGAUUCAAGACGGGUAUGAUUCCAUUACUUCCUAAUUUUC
rnacentral:lncRNA from 1 species